rnacentral:lncRNA from 1 species
UAUUGAAGAAGCUACACUAGUAGCUUAGGGAGCAAGCUUAUGCUCUAAACAAAACCACUCUCUCUCUCUUCUCUCCCCUCAUUCACACGCCCCUCACCCCUCUCUCAUCUCUCUCUCUUUCUUCCUUAAUCCUCCAUUGUUAACCAUUCUCAAAGCUUCAAAAAUCAUAUCUCCACCAUAGAUCUUCACUAAAUCAAAUCAAAACUUCAUUUCCUUUGAAUCAAGAGCAAGAUUGAUGGAGUUUCAAGCUUGAAGUUAGAGAGAAGAAUUUUUAUUUCUUUCAAAAUCCUUGAGUAAGUGAUGAAUCCUUUUAGAUCUAGACUUAAAUGUGUUGUAUAUGUGUAUAUAUGGAUAGAUCAAGCAAGAAAACACCCCUAUCCCUUCUUUGUGAUUUUCGAAAAUUUGGGUCUUUUACCCUUCAAAAAAUUUUUUCUUUUCCUUUUCUUAAAUUGAUGUUAUUUAAAUACUAUUGGGUGCCUAAUUAGUCUAUUUCCAUGUGUAGAUAAUUGAAUUAAAAAGAGAUAUGAGAUUUGAAAUAGUUUAGUUUGUGUAAAUUUGGGAAGUUUUGUAUUUGAGGCUUGAUUGAUGAAUUGAUGGAUGAUAUAUGCUAUUGAGAGUGUUUAUAUGAGAUUUGAUGGAUUGGAUUGAUGGUUGAAAUUGAUUAGUAAUUUUUGAUAUGAGUUAGUUUGAUGUAAUUUGGGUAAAAUUGAUUCUAUGGUUUAAUUUACUAAUUGAUUGUUUAUUUAUGCUAUUAAGUGUGCCAAUUUGAUAGAUCUAAGGUUGGAUUAAUGAUUUAUGCAUGUUUACAAAUUUUCAAAAAGUUUAGUUUGUUAAAAAUUGGGACUUUGUGAUCUAUGUGUUAAUUGAUUAAAUUGGCUAAGUUUAAUUGUUAUUAAGCAUGAUAGAAAUGAUAAUUAGGGAUCAAUUUGGUUAAUUGUCAAGAAUGCCUAAAAUUGGUUAAGUUUAGUUUGCUAGUAAUUGGGAACUUUUGAGUAAUGAAAUAAAUACUUGAAUUGAUGAUGUUUAUAUGAUAGUUAGACUACUAGCAAGGAGAAAGCAUGAUUAAAUUGGUUAAUGAUGUUGAUUUGUGAAAAUUUUCCGAGUUUAGUUUGCGUGCAUACAUGAGAUCCUGUAUAUAAGAUGAGUUAUGAGCCAAGCAUGUCUAUAUGUGGCUUUUUGAUGAUUAUUUGAGCUUAUAUAUGCAAUAUGAGACGAAACGGACCAACCCCUAAUGACCUAUGUGUUGGCCGAAUGUAGGGAGAAAAAGGGGAAGUCGAUGUUUGAAUUUUCUUGAGUUAUAUGAUUAUGUAUUUAUGUUAUUGUGUAUUAUGUGAGCUUAAUUUGAAUUUUUGAGAAUUUUGCAUCGAAGAAAUCCAAAGUCUAGGUAUAAUUGCUUGUAUGUUCAAGUUUGGAGUCAUUUUAUGACCUUUUAUACCUACUGUUUCGUUGGGUUCUUGUUACCCAAAGACCUUGAAAAUUUUAUGGUAAGAUUAAAUAAGAGUCAGUAGCAUACCGGUAAAAUUUCACGUCAAUUGGACUUUGUUUAUUAUUUUUAUAAAAUAGAAAACUAAAACUGCUACCUGCUGCCGAAAUGUUCGGUGAGUAUCCAAUAGAGUCACCUCUUCCAGUGUCCUUCCCUAACUUUUUGGAGCCUAAAUUUUUAUUUUUAAGACAUGAGUGUCUUAUCUAAGUACCCACCAAAUUUCAAGCCUUUUCGGCAACGUUUACUAUUUUUCAAAAAUCAAAGUUUUUAAUUGCUCAAAACUGCCGAAUAUGGUAGACUGUAGGAAAACAGUCAUAUCUCCUAAACUACUUGGAGUUUUUCAUCCUACUUUUUUUUGAAUGAAACUAGACUCAAAUAGGUUUUAAAUGGUAUAGGUCAUGACUCCAGUGGAGCUCUGUACCGAAUCUGGUGAAGUCUUUAAAUCGAGUCAGUGCAGAAUGAUGUUUGUUUGUGACAUGUCUAUGUGUGAAUUUAUAUGUUUAUGUGAUUAUGCUUGUUUAUGUGCUUGAUUGCUAUGGGUUUAAUUCGAGUUGAGUGUUAAGUCGAGAGUAGGACUUGUGAAUCCUUAGGAGUUAAGUAUACCUAGGGAUUGAGAUUUAGUUGGGUAAAUAGAAGAUGAGUGAUAAGUUAAAGUUUGAGCUGAGAUUGAAUCUUAGUAAAUGAGUUUCUAACUGAGGUUUAUCUUAUCUCAUGAACCACUCCGACAUUGUGACAUCUGAAGAUACAAGCAGAGGACGGAGGUAAGAUCGUCCAAGUACUACGAGAGUAAGCUAAGUUUGUCAGGUGGGCAUUAUUUUGAUAUACCUAUUAUACGAGCUUUCUUAAAUGAUAUGAUAUUUAUGAUUAUGAAUUGAGUUAAUGUUAUGCUUGAAACUAAUUGACUUGCCGAGUUUUGUUAAUAAUGACUUGUGUGUUACCCUCUACUGUUGAGACGAAUUCGGUCCUGCCACAAGCGGGAUUUUGUGCACAGAGGUGACUGUGAGCCGUCUAUCGGGUCGGCCGGUCACGGUACUUGAGAGGGAGGCCUACUUCUCAGUACCUUUAAUGAUGAGUAGUGGAUGUGGUACAUACAUAAUGAAUGUUUAAACUGCGCAGUUACUUUAUUGUGAUGUUAUGAUUUGUGAAAUUGCAUGCACAGGUUCUUCUCUAACUAAAACCCCUGUGUGUUGCUUAAUGUGGCAAGUUCAAUUUAUAGCUCUAAGAGCAAGCUUUCUUUUGUUUUUCGGCAUAUGUACACUGAGUACUUUGUACUCAGCCCUGCAUGUAUUUCUAAAUGUGCAGGAUAAGCGAGGAGGAGGAAGAUCGGUCUGGUGCUGGCGG